rnacentral:rRNA from 1 species
GUACACGCUGUGACUAGCAUAUCAAUAAGCGGAGGAAAAGAAACUAACAAGGAUUCCCUUAGUAACGGCGAGUGAAGCGGGAAGAGCUCAAAUUUGAAAUCUUCAAGGUUUUACCUUGACGAAUUGUAGUUUAAAGAAGUGUUUCUCUGCUGAAGUUUUGGUAAAAGUUCUUUGGAAUAGGACAUCAUAGAGGGUGAGAAUCCCGUAUUUGACCAUUAUUUUCAGCUUUGUGAUACACUUUCAAAGAGUCGGAUUGUUUGGGAAUGCAGUCCAAAAUGGGUGGUAAAUUUCAUCUAAAGCUAAAUAUUGGCGAGAGACCGAUAGCGAACAAGUACCGUGAGGGAAAGAUGAAAAGAACUUUGAAAAGAGAGUUAAACAGUACGUGAAAUUGUCAAAAGGGAAGCGUUUGACACCAGUGUUGUUUUCUCGAAAAUCAAUUAAAAAUGGCCUCGAUUUUGUAUUGUUGAGACCUUAAAAGCUCACUGUACAUUUUUCGUGUCUUUUUAAUGCACUUUUCGUUUAACAAGUCAACAUCAGUUUCUUUUGUUGUAAAAGGGUCAUUGGAAGGUGGCUUUCUUUUCGGAGAAAGUGUUUAUAGCCUUUGGCCUCUGCAAUCGGAAGAGACUGAGGUCUGCAGCGUAGACUCUUCGGGGUUAGAUACAUUUGUGCUAAGUUAGUAGCUUUUUAUAGACAACUUGUUGACUAUAAUUAGUCUUGUAGCUUACUCGCUUAUGCUAUUUUACCUACGCUUAGGAUGUUGAUCUACAGAGCGAGAGU